CAUAAUGAUUUUCACAAAGAAAAUAUAAAAAAUAUAUUUAUAUUAUGUGGUAUUAUUUUAUAUUCUUUAAAUAAUAUAAUACAAUAUUAUACAUUAUUUUUUAGAAUUGAAAAAUACAUAUAAUAUCUUAUCCGCGCGUAGCGCGGUUAAAAAAUCUAGUCACAAUACUAAAAGGGGAAUAUGGUGAAUGGAGAGGGUGUCCACGUCCUCAAAUUAAUUCAGGCCAAUAAAGAGAUGACAUAUCAGCUUUAGUUCCACGUAUUACACAAACAAAUAGACAGAACAUUUUUUUUUUGACAUCUAUAUGCUUUGACUUCAGCUUCUUCGUUUUAAUCGUUACCCUAAUUCGCUUCUUCUUCUUAAAUCAGUGUUCACCAUCAAUAAAUGUCAAGAAAAUCUUUUCAUAUUCUGAAUCUAUCCUGUAAAAAUCUGCCAUAUCCUCCUCAGUUGCCGUAGAUCCUGACGCUGGCAACGACACCCAACUUCAUGUUCGAUUUCUGCUCCAAUGAAAAAAAACUAGAAAACCUUCACCGGAGUUUACCUCUUCCUCCCGCCGGCGUGUUGGCUCAAUCAGGUUAUGUACUUAUCAGCUGCUCUUCGUCUUUAUCCUCGAAUAAUGGUUCAACUCCAGAGUCCUUUAACGAGAGUGGCUUAAAGGGGCAGUCAUCUUUCCUGGAAUGCCUUCCUUCGAUGGAGAAGGGUUUUGCUUAAAGACUUAAAGUCAGUGGAGCAGCUCUUACUGGAGACGAGGAGCAUAAUAUCGAUCCAAAGGUUUCAUCUUUUUUUCUGUUCUCUGUUUCCUUCUUCACAUGUCUCAUCCUGUUUCUCGCUAGGCGAUUGCAAGAGAGGUUUCAGCAGUGAAUCGGCUUGGCAUUGAGGUUAUUCUCGGACACAUUUUUGAUCUUACUGCGAUUGGGUAACUCUGUAACCAUGGAUUCAUGAGUUAUAAGUAGCUAGGUAUUAUGCGUUGAGCUCUUUCCUAGACAUGUUGAUUGAGAAAGUAUGAUUAGAUGGAAAUGUUUUGUACACUAAGUACAAUAAUAACUGUGUAGAAGUUACAAAAUGUGUUCUCGAUUUAUAUCUAUCUGGUUAGUUCCCUAUAAUCCUUCCUUCCUAACAACAAAAAUGCUCUGACACAGUCUUAACCACACUGAUCUUUGAUUUUAAUCGAUUUUGCAAUCACCAAAAAAAAUUAAAAGCUUAUUUGCACAUCAUGUUAUAAGCAACCACUGACUGAUUCUUUGGUAACGCCAAAUUAAAGCUUGCAAGUGUUGUAACAUACGUGAAGUAGGAUGUGAUGUCUGGGUCAUGGGCAUUACAAGGUCAUGUAUGAUGUCUUAAUCUUCUCAUACUUUUACAACAGGUUGCUAUUGUUGUUGGAGGAGGAAAUAUAUCUUUAGUGGAUCCAUCUGGGCUGGGUGCAGUGGCUUUGACCGUUCCUCUACUGAUUGUAUCGGGUAUCAAAUCCAUUCUUGACUUUUUGGUGCCAGACGAAUGUGUUUUUUUUUUCCAUAGAGUUUCAACAGGGGUGAUCAUCAUGAAUUUUGAGUUCAUCUCUUAGAAAUCAGGUUCUCAUCUUCUAGAUUAUACAUCAUUUAUUUCAUUCCAAGAGAGAGACAUACUCUAUAUCUUAUCUUUGUUUUGUGAUUUUAAUCAUAUAAGUUUUGGUUCAAAUUGAUGGUUUAUACAUUCAGCAAGUCUAUUUGUUAUAGUUUUAAUAGUUUUUCUUCAAGUUAGUUGGUGCUUUCAAUUGUUGCUUUACAAUCUUAGGUCAAGGGUGUGUCUUAACUUUGAUAUUACUAUGCUUUUCACCGCAAAGCUCCUGCAGCGCUUCGACCAUCAAGUUAUGUGUUUUGUAUGUUUCAGGUCAUGUGUUUACUGCAGGUAGUCGUCUACACAGCAGCAUCUUGAAUUGAGGUUUUGUCUCCUUCAGUUCUACCUGAGAAAUCUGAAAACAAAUCGGUUAGUGAAGAAGCUUCAAGUGUAAACUCUGCCAAUAUUACAGUAGUUUGUUUGAUUUCAGACUGGUACUUUUAAGCUUCAAAGAUUCAUGGUAUCGUAACAGAUUGAAUGCAUGACGGUUUGUGUGUACGUUACUAAGAUGAGAGAUAAACAAAUGAGCCAUUCAUUUAUGUGAGUGUCAAUCUCUUUUUAUGAGAUCUUCCAACAAAUCAUGGUACUUAAUUUAGUUGCUUCUUACAAACAAAUAGAAAGUAAACUAUAAAAAUGAAUUUGUUUCAGAAAUGACAACUUUGCAUUAACUUAAUACGGGUUGGAGCCGGAUAGAGUUUGGCAGAUUAAUAUUGCUGAAGUUUUUUCCCCACGUUUUAGGAGUUGUUGAAUAUUUGACAAACUUAAAUGUGACAGUCUUUAUGGGAUAUUAAUAUUAUGUGCAUUGCUAGCCAAAUAAACUAUGUUCUGGUUGCAGAAGUUAUUCUUAUCAAUAGUGUUAAGAGUGUUAGUAAAGUUAUGUGGUUAGUUACGACAUCAAUAAUAACUUUCUAAGAAAAGAUGUAGCAGCAGAAAAUACAGAAUAAAGCUAAGAGCUUGGCUUUCUGAAUGUUUUCAUUUAUCAUCUUCAAGCUAAAAUUUCACAGCUGUUUGAUUCUGUUACAUAGUAAUUUAUUUACUCUUUAAUCUGGGAUAGAACAUGCUUACCGGAUGUUUGUUUGGUCGUUUUACUGGUCGUUCCACUAUAAAUUGGGAAUAAUGAGCCUGGAAUAAAAUAAGAUUUUUUUUGGGUUUGCUAAGGAUUAUUUUAGAUACAAGUUUAUGUUGAUUCUAAGGUAUUUGCUGAAUGCAUUCAAAUCAAUAGUUAAAUUUUAAAAAUGCAUAUUGGUUGACUUUAAGAUUAAAGAAAAGUUUGCAUUAUACAUAAAUUAAACCAUAUUUUCAUACAGAUUAAUUGUAUUUUAACUAAGACUUAAUUAAAAAAUUAUUCAACAUACUUACCAGCUUAUAUGUAUUUUCUGAUAUUGAAAAUAAAUAUAAAUUGAAUUUUAAUAAUUUCAAAAUUGUAGUCACCAAAACAAUAAAAAGUUUACGAUUUUUUCUAAUAAUUUAAAAUUUAAAUAAAAUUUAUGGAAAAAACCCGGGCGUAGCCCGGAAAAAUCUCUAGGACUACUAUAGAAGUAGGUUUGCUCCUUCCUUAAUUAACGCUAUUGCCAUUUGGAUAUUGUGGUGGGUACUUUGUGAUGUGAUGAUUCCUGUAACUCAGUUUCGUUAUGGCCUUACGGGUCAACUAUUCUCACGUCACGUACAGCACACAGAACCUAAAAUUUAUAGUAUAUGCAACUGCUACUCGUAGAAUUUGACGAUCUAAAUGUCAGCUACGUGUUGACAAAAAAAAUGUAAGCUAUGUUACUGGCGGAAAAUUAUUAUUAAAAUGCUUGAGGUUUCAUAUUCAUUUCUUAAUAUUAUAAAACAAAAAGAAUAUAGUAGAAACUCUAUAAAUCAAUAUUUUAUAAAUUAAUAAAUUUUUCUUGUUCCAAGUUCGAUAAAUUCAAAAUAUGAUACAAAUCGAUAAAAUAAUAAGAUAAUAAAAUUUUAUAAAAUUAUAUGUAAAUACAUAGUCCCAUUAAAAUUAUGAAAUAAUAAUUUAUAUGUAUAAAUUUUUUAUAUAAGUACAAACCAUCCAUUAUAUUGUUUGUUAUAUAUUUACAACAGAAUCAUAUUUAUAUUUUCUUAACAUUUGAUAUAUUAUGAUGAGAUUCAGUAAAACUAUAUCUAAAACCAAAUUUGAAUUCUAUGAAACAUAUUAUUUCAUACGCUCAGAGAUUAAUAACUCUAUAAGUUAAUAAAAUACUAAAGUUCCAAAAUUAUUAGUUUAUAGAGUUUUUACUGUACAACUAAAUUUUGCUUAGAUUGCUUGUUUGCACCCGACAUUCUGAGAGGCCAAUCCAAAUUUCAUACUAGCUAUCAUUUUUACCCACUUAUAUUCGUAUUAUUAGAUUUUCAAAUGCAUGUACACCUAGUGGUAAACAUAUUCAUGUGUAUCAAAUAUCCAUGUAGGAUCGCUUAAAGAAUAUUGUUGAACAUAGUUACAUAUUUUUCGUAGCUAACGAAAAUCAAAUUUGCUACAUACUGAGAAGAUCACAAAGUCAAGCUGACUAAUCAGAGGCUUAACAUCUCAUGAACCUAUUAUGUAAAAAACAUCUCAUGCUGUUAGCAAAAAAAAAACAUCUCAUGCAUGAACCUAUCAUUUAUUUCUUUUUCAUAAAAGAAUUGGAUCUAAUAAUAUAAGAAAAAAAAAAACUAUUUU